rnacentral:piRNA from 1 species
UAAUUUAGAUUUUCCUGAUGAUCACGAUG